CCUACGUGGGACAGCAGUGGGGAAUAUUGCGCAAUGGGCGAAAGCCUGACGCAGCGACGCCGCGUGAGGGAUGAAGGUCUUCGGAUCGUAAACCUCUGUCAGCAGGGAAGAACGGUCACUGUGCUAAUCAGCAGUGAAUUGACGGUACCUGCAAAGGAAGCACCGGCUAACUCCGUGCCAGCAGCCGCGGUAAUACGGAGGGUGCGAGCGUUAAUCGGAAUUACUGGGCGUAAAGCGCUCGUAGGCGGUAUGUCAAGUCAAGGGUGAAAUCCCCGCGCUCAACGUGGGAACUGCCUUUGAAACUGGCAAACUGGAGUGUGUGAGAGGAUAGUGGAAUUCCAGGUGUAGGAGUGAAAUCCGUAGAUAUCUGGAGGAACAUCAGGGGCGAAGGCGACUAUCUGGCACAUAACUGACGCUGAGGAGCGAAAGCGUGGGUAGCAAACAGGAUUAGAUACCCCAGUAGUC
rnacentral:rRNA from 1 species